rnacentral:rRNA from 1 species
UAUUGGACAAUGGGGGGAACCCUGAUCCAGCGACGCCGCGUGAGUGAAGAAGUAUCUCGGUAUGUAAAGCUCUAUCAGCAGGGAAGAAGAAAUGACGGUACCUGAGUAAGAAGCCCCGGCUAACUACGUGCCAGCAGCCGCGGUAAUACGUAGGGGGCAAGCGUUAUCCGGAAUUACUGGGUGUAAAGGGAGCGUAGACGGUGAUGUAAGUCUGGAGUGAAAUACCCGGGCUCAACCUGGGAACUGCUUUGGAAACUGUAUGGCUGGAGUGCUGGAGAGGUAAGCGGAAUUCCUAGUGUAGCGGUGAAAUGCGUAGAUAUUAGGAGGAACACCAGUGGCGAAGGCGGCUUACUGGACAGUAACUGACGUUGAGGCUCGAAAGCGUGGGGAGCAAACAGG